rnacentral:rRNA from 1 species
CACGUAGGGGGCGAGCGUUGUCCGGAUUUAUUGGGCGUAAAGAGCUCGUAGGCGGUUCGGUAAGUCGGGUGUGAAAUCUCCACGCUCAACGUGGAGGGGCCACUCGAUACUGCCGUGACUCGAGUCCGGUAGAGGAGUGUGGAAUUCCCGGUGUAGCGGUGAAAUGCGCAGAUAUCAGGAGGAACACCGGUGGCGAAGGCGGGUCUCUGGGCCGAUACUGACGCUGAGGAGCGAAAGCGUGGGGAGCGAACAGG